rnacentral:rRNA from 1 species
GGACAACCUGCCCUGCGRWGAGGGAUAACUCCGGGAAACUGGAKAUAAUACCUCAUAGUUUACCAUCGCUGGAAUGCCUGGUAAGCGAAAGGUCCGCCGCCACAGGAUGGGUCUGCGGCCKAUUAGGUUGUUGUKGGUGUAACGGCCCAACAAGCCUGUGAUCGGUACGGGUUGUGGGAGCAAGAGCCCGGAGAUGGAUUCUGAGACACGAAUCCAGGCCCUACGGGGCGCAGCAGGCGCGAAAACUUUACAAUGCAGGCAACUGUGAUAAGGGAACCCCGAGUGCCCGUAUGGACGGGCUGUUCAGGUGCUUAAAAACCACUUGKAGAAAGGGCCGGGCAAGACCGGUGCCAGCCGCCGCGGUAAYACCGGCGGCUCGAGUGGUGGCCACUAUUACUGGGCUUAAAGCGUCCGUAGCUUGGUCGUUAAGCCUCUGGGGAAAUCUUCCGGCUCAACCGGAAGGCGUCUCAGGGGAACUGKCGACCUAGGGAUCGGGAGAGGUGAGAGGUACUCUGGGGGUAGGAGUGAAAUCCUGUAAUCCUCAGGGGACCACCUGUGGCGAAGGCGUCUCACCAGAACGACUCCGACAGURAGGGACGAAAGCUGGGGGMGCAAACCGGAUUAGAUACCCGGGUAGUCCUAGCCGUAAACGAUACUCGCUAGGUGUCGGCCACGGUGCGACCGUUGUCGGUGCCGUAGGGAAGCCGUGAAGCGAGCCACCUGGGAAGUACGGCCGCAAGGCUGAAACUUAA